AGUUGGUGACUGUUUGGAGUCCUCUGUAGGCUGCAACCAGGAAGGUCAGGAAAAGUUUACAGAGCUGCUCAAAUGGAGAGCAAUCGCUCCACUAGAACUCCCGGGUCCUCUGGAAGCCCUGCACACUGUUCCAGAGAAAGGACCUGAAGCCUAUCAAAGCAGAGGCUGGGCUCCAGGCUCCCAGAGUAUCACAGGUGGAACCAUGUUGGCUUGGUGUGUUUUGUCUGGGCUCGAGCCGAGAUUUAAACAGCAACACCGAGCACCUGGCUUAAAGUUUGCAACAGUUUGAUCCUGAACUUCGUCCCUGGGCUUUGGAACUCUUAUUCCCGUAUCAAAUGAAGAGCUCAUCCCCAGCUUGCUUUUCUUCAGGAUUGUCGGAUGCCCGAGGCUGAAAGCUUCCGAGAGCAGGAAUAACUUGCUCGGGUUUUGUCCUCUUGACUUUGGCUGGCGUUACUUCUCUAUCUCAUUAUGGCUUUGAUGCUUUUAAGAAAAUUAAACAGAUAUUUCAUCCA